rnacentral:rRNA from 1 species
CGAAGCACUGAAGAAUGGAGAUUCGUCAAAGUUCUUCUUUGACUGAGUGGCGAACGGGUGAGUAAUGCGUGAGCAACCUGCCCUUCAGAGGGGGACAACAGUUGGAAACGACUGCUAAUACCGCAUGACGUGUUUGGAAGGCAUCUUCUGGAUACCAAAGGAGAAAUCCGCUGAAGGAUGGGCUCACGUCUGAUUAGCUUGUUGGCGGGGCAACGGCCCACCAAGGCGACGAUCAGUAGCCGGACUGAGAGGUUGAACGGCCACAUUGGGACUGAGAUACGGCCCAGACUCCUACGGGAGGCAGCAGUGGGGAAUAUUGGGCAAUGGGCGAAAGCCUGACCCAGCAACGCCGCGUGAAGGAAGAAGGCCUUCGGGUUGUAAACUUCUUUUAACAGGGACGAAGAAGUGACGGUACCUGUUGAAUAAGCCACGGCUAACUACGUGCCAGCAGCCGCGGUAAUACGUAGGUGGCGAGCGUUAUCCGGAUUUACUGGGUGUAAAGGGCGCGUAGGCGGGAAUGCAAGUCAGGUGUGUAAUCUACAGGCUCAACCUGUAAACUGCACUUGAAACUGCGUUUCUUGAGUGUCGGAGAGGUUGACGGAAUUCCUAGUGUAGCGGUGAAAUGCGUAGAUAUUAGGAGGAACACCAGUGGCGAAGGCGGUCAACUGGACGAUAACUGACGCUGAGGCGCGAAAGCGUGGGGAGCAAACAGGAUUAGAUACCCUGGUAGUCCACGCCGUAAACGAUGA